GACGAACGCUGGCGGCGUGCCUAAUACAUGCAAGUAGAACGCUGAACGAUGAGCUUGCUCUUCUGGAUGACUUGCUAACGGACGAGUGACGCGUACGUAACCUGCCUGGCCUUGGGAGGAUAACUAUUGGAAACAAUAGCUAGAUACCGCAUAACUACAAUUGUCUCAUGACAUCUGUUAAAAAUAUGCAGUUGCCUCACUACCAAAUGGACCUGCGAUGGAUUAGAUAGCUGGUGAGGUAACGGCUCAACGAGGCAACGAUACAUAACCGAACUAACAGGGUGAUCGGCCACACUGUGACUGACACACUUGCCACACUCCUACGGGAGGCACUCCUACGGAAUCUUCGGCAAUGGACUGAUCUCUGACCGACCAACGCCUCAUGAAUGAACAACGUUUUCGGAUCGAAAAGCUCUGUUGUAAGAAAAUAACGAGUGCGAGACUGGAAAGCUCACUCUGUGACGGUAUCUUACCAGACAGGGACGGAUAACUACGUGCCAGCUACCUCGGUAAUACCUACGUCCCGAGCGUUGUCCGGAUUUAUUGUGCGCAAAACUAGCGCACGCAGAUAGAUAACUCUGAAAUUAAACGCUGUGGCUUAACCAUACUACGCUUUGCACACUGAUUAACUUGAAUGCUGCAAUCUAGAGUGUAAUUACAUGUGUAGCGAUUACAUGCGUAGAUAUAUGGAGGCACCCCGGUGGAGAAAGCGGCUCUCUGGCUUGUAACUGACGCUGAGGCUCGAAACCGUGGAGAGCACACAGGAUUAGAUACCCUGGUAGUCCACGCUGUAAGCGAUGAGUGCUAGGUGUUAGACCCUUUCCGGGGUUUAGUGCCACAGCUAACGCAAUAAGCACUCCGCCUGGGGAGUGCGCCCGCAAGGGUGAAUCUCAAAGGAAUUGACGGGGGCCCGCACAAGCGGUGGAGCAUGUGGUAUAAUUAGAAGCAACGCGAAGCACCUUCACAUGUCUUCACAUCCCUACGGCCGCUGUAGAGAUAGAUUUUUCUUUCGAGCCAGAGGUCACAGGUGGCGCAUGGUUGUUGUCAGCUCGUGUCGUGAGAUGGGGGGAUAAGUCCCGCAGCGAGCGCAACCCCUAUUGUUAGUUCCCAUCAUUCAGUGGGGCACCCUAGCGAGACUCCCCGUACUAAACCGGAGGAAGGUGGGGAGGACGUCAAAUCAUCAUCCCCCUUAUGACCUGGGCUCCCCACGUGCUCCAAUGGAUGGUACAGCGAGUCGCAAGCCGGCGACGGCAAGCUAAUCUGUGAAACCCAGUCUCAGUUCGGAUUGUAGGCUGCAACUCGCCUACAUGAAGUCGGAAUCGCUAGUAAUCGCGGAUCAGCACGCCGCGGUGAAUACGUUCCCGGGCCU
rnacentral:rRNA from 1 species